rnacentral:rRNA from 1 species
GACGAACGCUGGCGUUGUUGCUUAACACAUGCAAGUCGAACGGAAAGGCCCUGCUUUUGUGGGGUGCUCGAGUGGCGAACGGGUGAGUAACACGUGAGUAACCUGCCCUUGACUUUGGGAUAACUUCAGGAAACUGGGGCUAAUACCGGAUAGGAGCUCCUGCUGCAUGGUGGGGGUUGGAAAGUUUCGGCGGUUGGGGAUGGACUCGCGGCUUAUCAGCUUGUUGGUGGGGUAGUGGCUUACCAAGGCUUUGACGGGUAGCCGGCCUGAGAGGGUGACCGGCCACAUUGGGACUGAGAUACGGCCCAGACUCCUACGGGAGGCAGCAGUGGGGAAUAUUGCACAAUGGGCGGAAGCCUGAUGCAGCAACGCCGCGUGCGGGAUGACGGCCUUCGGGUUGUAAACCGCUUUCGCCUGUGACGAAGCGUGAGUGACGGUAAUGGGUAAAGAAGCACCGGCUAACUACGUGCCAGCAGCCGCGGUGAUACGUAGGGUGCGAGCGUUGUCCGGAUUUAUUGGGCGUAAAGGGCUCGUAGGUGGUUGAUCGCGUCGGAAGUGUAAUCUUGGGGCUUAACCCUGAGCGUGCUUUCGAUACGGGUUGACUUGAGGAAGGUAGGGGAGAAUGGAAUUCCUGGUGGAGCGGUGGAAUGCGCAGAUAUCAGGAGGAACACCAGUGGCGAAGGCGGUUCUCUGGGCCUUUCCUGACGCUGAGGAGCGAAAGCGUGGGGAGCGAACAGGCUUAGAUACCCUGGUAGUCCACGCUGUAAACGGUGGGUACUAGGUGUGGGGUCCAUUCCACGGGUUCCGUGCCGUAGCUAACGCUUUAAGUACCCCGCCUGGGGAGUACGGCCGCAAGGCUAAAACUCAAAGGAAUUGACGGGGCCCCGCACAAGCGGCGGAGCAUGCGGAUUAAUUCGAUGCAACGCGUAGAACCUUACCUGGGUUUGACAUGGAUCGGGAGUGCUCAGAGAUGGGUGUGCCUCUUUUGGGGUCGGUUCACAGGUGGUGCAUGGCUGUCGUCAGCUCGUGUCGUGAGAUGUUGGGUUAAGUCCCGCAACGAGCGCAACCCUUGUUCACUGUUGCCAGCACGUUAUGGUGGGGACUCAGUGGAGACCGCCGGGGUCAACUCGGAGGAAGGUGGGGAUGACGUCAAGUCAUCAUGCCCCUUAUGUCCAGGGCUUCACGCAUGCUACAAUGGCUGGUACAGAGAGUGGCGAGCCUGUGAGGGUGAGCGAAUCUCGGAAAGCCGGUCUCAGUUCGGAUUGGGGUCUGCAACUCGACCUCAUGAAGUCGGAGUCGCUAGUAAUCGCAGAUCAGCAACGCUGCGGUGAAUACGUUCCCGGG